GCCUCUAAUGAUGAUCAAAUGAAUUCUUAUGUUCUUCUAAGAUGUUCCCUGGUGGAAAAACUUUUUUGGAGACAUGAACUAAAUAGUU